rnacentral:rRNA from 1 species
AUUGAACGCUGGCGGCAUGCCUUACACGUGCAAGUCGAACGGCAGCACGGGAGCAAUCCUGGUGGCGAGUGGCGAACGGGUGAGUAAAGUAUCGGAACGUGCCCAGUCGUGGGGGAUAACGUAGCGAAAGUUACGCUAAUACCGCAUACGAUCUAUGAAUGAAAGCGGGGGAUCGCAAGACCUCGCGCGAUUGGAGCGGCCGAUAUCAGAUUAGGUAGUUGGUGGGGUAAAGGCUCACCAAGCCGACGAUCUGUAGCUGGUCUGAGAGGACGACCAGCCACACUGGGACUGAGACACGGCCCAGACUCCUACGGGAGGCAGCAGUGGGGAAUUUUGGACAAUGGGCGAAAGCCUGAUCCAGCCAUGCCGCGUGCAGGAUGAAGGCCUUCGGGUUGUAAACUGCUUUUGUACGGAACGAAAAGGUUUGGCCUAAUAAGCUGAGCUCAUGACGGUACCGUAAGAAUAAGCACCGGCUAACUACGUGCCAGCAGCCGCUGUAA